rnacentral:rRNA from 1 species
UACGUAGGGUGCAAGCGUUUAAUCGGAAUUACUGGGCGUAAAGGGCUCGUAGGCGGUUUGUCGCGUCGGGAGUGAAAUCCACUGGCUUAACUGGUGGCUUGCUUUCGAUACGGGCAGACUGGAGGUAUGCAGGGGAGAACGGAAUUCCUGGUGUAGCGGUGAAAUGCGCAGAUAUCAGGAGGAACACCGGUGGCGAAGGCGGGUCUCUGGGCCGAUACUGACGCUGAGGAGCGAAAGCGUGGGGAGCGAACAGG